GGGCUUAUAGCUAUCACUUAGGUGUUGGGCAGUUGAAAGACAGAACAGUUAAGUUGAGCACUAUGCUACCCGCUCUUCGAUCAACUAUUAUUCUAGAGUUUUGCAAGAUUUUCAAAUAAAACUAAGAAUUUCUUUGUUUGAAACUUUCUAGUCUCUCAUAUGUGGUAUUUUUGGAUGCUUUCCAAGGCAAGUGAGUAUGCCUUCUCUCUGCUCUCAGAAUAUGUGGUAUUUGUAUCAGUAAGACAUAGUUGCCUUAUCUCUCUCACCCUACUUCUAAUUGGCUUAUGUGGAGCUGAUAGGUGGAAAAGAUAAUUCAAACCUACUUGGAUGUAUUGCAUAGUUAAACCAUGGAUCCAGAGAAACUAAUUAUAUAAUCAAGUAAUAUGUGCAUGUGAGUGAAGUGAAAUGAAGUGAUAAGAAUGAAAGGGGUUAUGAGGGGUGAUAACUGAUGGUGAAUAUCUAAUUCUACAUUUGCUCCUUGGGGAUAACAUACCUCCCUAAUCCGAGAACAAGGAUUUGGUUGUCUUUCUUUUCUUUUGCAUUGGGACUUUUGUCCUCUUUCUUUCUUUUUCUCUCUUUUUUUCUCUCUUUUUUAGAGAUCAGCCAUCCCUUUUAAUUCAAUGACAACAGUAGGGAGUAUCAACUGGGAUGACAUUGGAUAAGUAGAAUAAGACACUGAAUAUUUUUGGGUGCCUUCUCCUAGUGUAGGAGUAGAACAUUUUCUAAGUGGACGUAGAAUGUGUGUGGGUGAAUGAAGGAAUGUGUACUCCUAGGGUAGGAGCAGCAUAGGUGCAUGUCUCCAGGAUAGAAACAACAUAGAGUGUAGUGUGUAUAUGUGGGUGGUACUUCCAGGAACAGAAGUAGCACAUAGUGAAUGUGGUGGAUGAGAGUGGUUACAUACUUCUAAGGAUAGAAGUAGCUAAGAUCAAUAGUUGGAGAGCACAUAAUAUUGAAUUUAACUGCAUGACUAGUUCCAGAGGGUCUACAUAGCUUAACUACUCUCAAUGCUUAUAGGUUGAAACAUAUGUGGAGGCUUUUCUAAUCUAGUAAGCAUGAGUAAUUGGUUGUGGUAGGAAUUUUAAAACUCUUG
rnacentral:lncRNA from 1 species